GUUUACGAACAGACUGUCAGCGAGAGAUGCAAACGAGGUACGUCGGGGGCUGAGCAGCGGCCACAGGGAGGCUAAGAUUACAGAGUAAAGCCCUCCUCCUCCUCCCUGAAGUAAUAACGGCGAAAUGAGACUGACAUUUCACUCUGGAAGACGCGCACUCCGUGAGCCGGGGGGCCGCAGGACAAACGCAAAGAUACGGAGCAGGAAGCCAUACACACACACACAGGAAGUAAUGCAUUAGAGAAGCUGCAGCUGUCUGCGUGUCUCAGCUAAAUGAGCCGUUGUUUCAGCCCACACUGAGAGGUGCCUCGGUGUUAGCAGAAAACAAACGAGGACUACCGUUUGGUUUCCAGCGGUGGGAUUCCACCGCCGGCUCGUUAGCGCGGCGUGCUCCACCUCGUAAAGUUACUGGCAUCGGGAAAACAAAGCGUUUUGGACGGUUUCAGCGCCAAACGCGGCACAGCGGGGUUUUAAAGGCGAUGCGUUUACCCUCCGUCUCUGCAUUUACCAGGCAAACAGCAACGUUUGCCCCGCUGACGUUGCGAACUAUUGCGCAUCCACGUGUUCGCGGCAACAAUUAAGUCAUGUUAAACUUGGACCCCUGCUGGUAAAACCCACUCCGGCUCAUGCAAGUACACGAGAGAGCAGUAUUUUUCACAUCCCCUUAGGAGAAUCUGUUUACUGCUCUGUUUUCAUGUUCAAUCCAGGUGAUGACGGCGCUUUGAAGCGAGAACAUUAACACACAUUCA
rnacentral:lncRNA from 1 species